rnacentral:rRNA from 1 species
CCAGACUCCUACGGGAGGCAGCAGUGGGGGAUAUUGCACAAUGGGGGGAACCCUGAUGCAGCGACGCCGCGUGGGCGAGGGAGCGCCUCGGCGCGUAAAGCCCUUUCGGCGGGGGAGAACGAUGACGGUACCCGACGAAGAAGCACCGGCUAAAUACGUGCCAGCAGCCGCGGUAAUACGUAUGGUGCAAGCGUUAUCCGGAUUUACUGGGUGUAAAGGGAGCGUAGGCGGCGCGUUAAGUCUGAUGUGAAAACCCGAGGCUCAACCACGGGAGUGCAUUGGAAACUGGCGGGCUGGAGUGCCGGAGAGGUAAGCGGAAUUCCUAGUGUAGCGGUGAAAUGCGUAGAUAUUAGGAGGAACACCAGUGGCGAAGGCGGCUUACUGGACGGCAACUGACGCUGAGGCUCGAAAGCGUGGGGAGCAAACAGGAUUAGAUACCCUGGUA